rnacentral:rRNA from 1 species
CAAUAGCGUAUAUUAAAGUUGUUGCGGUUAAAAAGCUCGUAGUUGGAUUUCUGUUGAGAAGGGCCGGUCCGCACUUUGUGUGAGUAUCUGGUGCCGUCUUGGCAUCCUGUUAGAGAUCGUAACUGCGCUUGACUGCGUGGUGCGGAAUUUAACACUUUUACUUUGAGGAAAUUAGAGUGUUCACGGCAGGCCACCGCCUUGAAUACAUUAGCAUGGAAUAAUAAGAUAGGACUCUUGUUCUAUUUUGUUGGUUUCUAGAGCGAGAGUAAUGAUUAAUAGGGAUAAUUGGGGCAUUUGUAUUAACGCGUCAGAGGUGGAAUUCUUGGAUUGCGUUACGACAAACUACUGCGAAAGCAUUUGCCAAGGAUGUUUUCAUUGAUCAAGAACGAAAGUAUGGGGAUCGAAGAUGAUUAGAUACCA